CUUGGGCAAUGCUCUUGCAACAGCACAGGAGUUCAAGGGGAAGUUAAUGCCCCCAGGGCAGUCCUUAAGCAAGAGAGAAUGGGAAUUGGUAGAUACGUGCUGCAGGAUCCCAACUUUAAGAAAGAGGCAGCUCUGAAAUGCAUUCUGUAUGGAUCCUCAGAUGGUCCCUUGCUGGAUUGAACCCCAGGCUCCCACAACAGUAAUCAAUUCAGUAACACCUCUUCCCUGUGUCAUUUUCAGGGUAUGGCCAACUGGGUCACAUCACAGAAACGAUUUGGCCCUUGGAAGGUCAUUGGUGGUAUUUUGCAAAGAAGUUUCAAUCUGAAGAUUUGCUUGGGGGCAGAAGCCUAGAAAGAAUGAAUUAGAAUGAGUGUAAUGAAGCUUUAAUUAGCCAUCUGCCAAAUAGGGUUUAUCUAGCCAUGAAAGGGCACGAGCAAGUUCAAGCCUCACAGCCCUUCUUGUAACAUGACAACAAAAAACGUCAUGUCUUUAUAAAAAUUGUGCUGCCAAAAAUGUUCGUCCUGAAUCUACUUAAGCCAUUAAAACAAACUUCCAUUUUACAGGAGAGACCCACCAGAAGGACGAAGUAAAACCUCUGUGAGGAAGCGAUCAGCCAAAUGCAGAAUGUGGGACAUGCAUCAGGAAAACUAACACAAUGUCAGCAGUACUCUAUCUUCCCUCACAUGGAACUCAGGUCCUUUCUUUGUCCCAUGUUGACUGUCUGCUGGCUCUGUAAAUGUUCAAGAGAAGAGACAGGAUGGAAAGCUGGAAUCAGCCAACUGAAUUGCUUGUCGGGAGACUCAGAACAUUUGGAGACAGGCAACAAAUUGAGAGUCUAUUCUGAAAAUUCUAUCCCACCAUGUAAAUGUUGAAGCGUAGUUUCUGAUGAAGUUCCAUGUGGUGGAAAUCAUGAUGCCAAGAACCAGCAUAGCAUAGAAAGGGAUCAGAUUUAAAGGGUUGAGUGGAAUGUCAUAACCACUAUGGACAUCGAUAGUUUCUAUCAAAUGAAUAGUCACCCACGCCCAAAGGAGAGUGAUGUGAUUACAUAAAAGCAUGAUUCCAAUAAAAAAUCCAGUUCCAAGAAUCA
rnacentral:lncRNA from 1 species